CAGAGUUUGAUCCUGGCUCAGAGUGAACGCUGGCGGCGUGGAUUAGGCUUGCAAGUCGUGCGAUCCUUGCUUGAAACUCAUUGGAGUGCUUGCACAAAGAUGAGCGGAUAGCGCUGGAUAGCGGCAAACGGGUGAGUAACGCGUGAGUAACUUGCCCUUAAGACAGGGAUAGCUUCGUGAAAACGGAGGUAAUACCUGAUGUGCCCCUGACAUCUCAUGAUGAUUGGGGUAAAGGCGGGGACCGUAAGGCCUGCCGCUUAGGGAUGGACUCGCGUCCUAUCAGCUUGUUGGUGGGGUAACGGCCUACCAAGGCGUUUGACGGGUAGCUGGUCUGAGAGGAUGGUCAGCCACACUGGGACUGAGACACUGCCCAGACUCCUACGGGAGGCUGCAGUCGAGAAUAUUUAGCAAUGGGCGAAAGCCUGACUAUGCGACGCCGCGUGAGGGAUGAAGGGUUUCGGCUCGUAAACCUCUUUUGUCAGGAAAGAACAUUUCAUGGUUAAUAGCCAUGGAACUGACGGUACCUGACGAAUAAGCCACGGCCAACUCCGUGCCAGCAGCCGCGGUAAUACGGAGGUGGCAAGCGUUACUCGGAAUCAUUGGGUGUAAAGGGCAAGUAGGCGGACUAUUAAGUCAGUGGUGAAAUCCUGCAGCUCAACUGUAGAACUGCCAUUGAUACUGAUAGUCUUGAGUUUGGUUAAGGUAGGCGGAAUGUGUAAUGUAGCGGUGAAAUGCUUAGAUAUUACACAGAACACCGAUUGCGUAGGCAGCUUACUGAGCCGACACUGACGCUGAGGCACGAAAGCGUGGGGAUCGAACAGGAUUAGAUACCCUGGUAGUCCACGCCGUAAACGAUGAUUACUCGCUGUUGGCGAUACACUGUCAGCGGCUAAGCAAAAGCAAUAAGUAAUCCACCUGGGGAGUACGGCCGCAAGGCUGAAACUCAAAGGAAUUGACGGGGGCCCGCACAAGCGGAGGAACAUGUGGUUUAAUUCGAUGAUACGCGAGGAACCUUACCUGGGCUUAAAUGUAGAGUGCAUUUUCUAGAGAUAGGAAUUCCCUUCGGGGCUUUCUGCAAGGUGCUGCAUGGUUGUCGUCAGCUCGUGCCGUGAGGUGUCGGGUUAAGUCCCAUAACGAGCGCAACCCUUAUCGUUAGUUGCCAGCUGGUAAAGCAGGGGACUCUAGCGAAACUGCACCGUAAGGUGAGAGGAAGGUGGGGAUGACGUCAAAUCAGCACGGCCCUUAUGUCCAGGGCUACACACGUGUUACAAUGGCCGGCACAGAGGGCAGCUACCUGGUGACAGGAUGCUAAUCUCGAAAACCGGUCUCAGUUCGGAUCGAAGUCUGCAACUCGACUUCGUGAAGCUGGAUUCGCUAGUAAUCGCGCAUCAGCCAUGGCGCGGUGAAUACGUUCCCGGGCCUUGUACACACCGCCUGUCACACCAUGAGAGUUUGUAACACCCGAAGUCAAUAGCAUAACCGNCAAGGAGUGCGUUGCCGAAGGUGGGACAGAUGAUUGGGGUGAAGUCGUAACAAGGUAACCGUA
rnacentral:rRNA from 1 species